CUGCAGGAACAGCGGCGUUUCGCCGAGGGGCUGCGCAGUGAGGGGAGGUGGGGCGAGCUGCCGCUGUUUUGUGGGGAACAGAGGAGGAGCAGGGGAGGGCGCCGGGGAUCCGCUGCUGUGCGCGCGCAGGGGCUUGGGGGAGGGAGAUGCUGCGCAGAGCUGCUAUUUUUCGGAUCGAAGAACUGGGCGCAGGGAACUCGGACGCCAUGGACAGGGAAGUGUGCAGGCUGCUGCACGGCUGUGAAGACAGGGAGGGCGCCAUUGGAGGGGACGUGCAGGGUUGCCGGAUUCCUGUGCGCCCAACCAGAAAAGCAGGGGAAGGUGCCACGGACGGACAUGGAAGGGAGCAAGGAGGUUGUGCUCGAGCCGACCUCCAUGCCUUCUGCCGUGGGGAGCUUCUGUAGGGGAGUUCAGCUAGGGGCAAGCAGGGAGGAAGAUGAACAGGCGCUGGCUGCCGCUGCGCGAGGAAGGAGCAAGGGGGGGCGCCACGCCAUGGCUGCUGGGAGCGGCUGGAGCAGGCUUGCGCAGAGGAGGGAGGAAGGGAUGGACGCCAUGGCUGUUGGCUUGCUCCCUGCUGGCCGCCGUGGGGAACCAGGGAGGAAGAAGCUGACGCCUGCUGUUCUAUCGUGUAGGAGAAGGAGAAAGGAGAGGGCUGGUUUGGGCGGCUAG
rnacentral:misc_RNA from 1 species